rnacentral:rRNA from 1 species
CUACGGGAGGCAGCAGUGGGGAGUAUUGGACAAUGGGCGCAAGCCUGAUCCAGCCAUGCCGCGUGAGUGAUGAAGGCCUUAGGGUUGUAAAGCUCUUUCGGCAGGGAAGAUAAUGACGGUACCCGCAGAAGAAGCCCCGGCUAACUUCGUGCCAGCAGCCGCGGUAAUACGAAGGGGGUUAGCGUUGCUCGGAAUCACUGGGCGUAAAGCGCACGUAGGCGGGUUGCUAAGUCAGGGGUGAAAUCCUGGAGCUCAACUCCAGAACUGCCUUUGAUACUGGCGGCCUUGAGUCCGGGAGAGGUGAGUGGAACUGCGAGUGUAGAGGUGAAAUUCGUAGAUAUUCGCAAGAACGCCAGUGGCGAAGGCGGCUCACUGGCCCGGUACUGACGCUGAGGUGCGAAAGCGUGGGGAGCAAACAGGAUUAGAAACCCCAGUAGUCC